rnacentral:rRNA from 1 species
GAAUCCCGUCUUUGGCACGGAUGCCUGGUGCUUCUGUGAUGCGCUCUCGAAGAGUCGAGUUGUUUGGGAAUGCAGCUCAAAAUGGGUGGUGAACUCCAUCUAAAGCUAAAUAUUGGCGAGAGACCGAUAGCGAACAAGUACCGUGAGGGAAAGAUGAAAAGCACUUUGGAAAGAGAGUGAAACAGUACGUGAAAUUGUUGAAAGGGAAACGCUUGAAGUCAGUCGCGUCGACCGAGACUCAGCCUUGCCCUUGGCUUGGUGUACUUCUCGGCUGACGGGUCAGCAUCAAUUUUGCCCCUUGGAUAAUGGCGAGGGAAAUGUGACACCUUUACGGUGUGUUAUAGUCUCUUGUCGCAUGCAAGGGUUGGGAUUGAGGAACUCAGCACGCACCUUUGGGUGUCGGGGCUUUGCCCACGAUACGUGCUUAGGAUGUUGGCGUAAUGGCUUUAAACGACCCGUCUUGAAACACGGACCAAGGAGUCUAACAUGCCUGCGAGUGUUCGGGUGGAAAACUCGUGCGCGCAAUGAAAGUGAAAGUUGGGACCUCUGUCGUGGAGGGCACCGACGCCCGGACCAGACCUUCUGUGACGGCUCUGCGGUAAAGCAUGUAUGUUAGGACCCGAAAGAUGGUGAACUAUGCCUGAAUAGGGUGAAGCCAGAGGAAACUCUGGUGGAGGCUCGUAGCGAUUCUGACGUGCAAAUCGAUCGUCAAAUUUGGGUAUAGGGGCGAAAGACUAAUCGAACCAUCUAGUAGCUGGUUCCUGCC